ensembl:ncRNA F57F10.2 ncRNA
UCAAUUUUCAUUUUUCUUAAAAUACACGAAAUUCUGAAAAUAUUGGUAGUGUUGUCAGCGACGUCGUCGGAAAAAAUUUGCAUUUUUCCAUCGCAGCUUUCCUGUUCACCGCCGUGCUUUUUCUUUGCUCAUUUUUUCCGCUUUUCGUGCUUCUUACGGGCGCUGCUUUGCGUACAAUGGCAAACGGAGAAAAAUAGUGAAGAGCACGAUGAAGGAAAGGAUUUAGAAUAAGUAGAGGGAGAAGAAGAGGAAUGAGUGAAGACUGAAAAAACGACAAUGGAAG